UGUCUCAGGGUUAAGAAUUUUGCAUAAUUUUCUCCCGCAAUCUCGUUCCUUUCACAAAAGAUCUAGAAAAAAAGAAGCCAUGGCCGCCCGCAGUUCUCUUCUUCACAGAACCAAAGCCUUUUCUAAUUUAAUCGUUUUUCUUUAUCUAAAUCGGAACCUGAAAUACCUAAUUCUUAUCUCGGUAAAAAACCUAACUAUCUCUUCUUAGUACCAUUUUCAGUUUUCUCUCUAUCAUUCUUUCUCUGAAGAAUAAAAGUUUUCUUUGAAAGAAAUUUAGUGAAGAAGAUUAUCAUAUCCAACGAUCUUUCCUUUGAGGCAGACUACAGGACGAGCUAUAAGGCUAUUAACCCUCAAGUAGCAACUGAUGAUGAAAACACGGAUCCUAUUGUUUUUUUUUUUGUUCUUUUGAUUAUUGGUUUAGUUGAUGUUUUAGUAUACUUAGGUUUUUAUAUUCACAGCUAUAUCAUUUAAUUUCUGUCUUGGCUGUAAAAUUUCUUUUUGUAGCAUUUCCAUAAAGAUAGGCUCAAAUGAAUGAAAUACGUUCAAAUGUAUAACGAAACAGUUUAAAGCAUCGCCGGCUAGAAGAAAUACUCAUAAGGGAACAUAGUCCAAGCAGUUCUUUGGCGGUGUUUGCAGGGAAAAGGAUCUUUGCCGUCUCAUGGAGCUGAACAUUUCGAUAAUGACACCCCACAAGGAAGGAAAGAAAUUAUACAACAUGUGUAACCAUAAUCAAGGUCUUGGCUGUAGCAUCUUUCAAAAAGAGUAGCAUUCCAAGAAAUAUAGUUGCAACAAUUGCUGCUAGCCUAACUAUGCAACCAAAACAAGUAAACAGUAGAAGUGCAAACAUUAAAUGGCUCCACUAAUCGUCUAGUUUAAGUUUCUCAACAGAGCAGUAAAAAACAAACCUGCUGAUCCAAUACAAGAGUGCACCUUAGAAAAGAUAGAAGCAGUAAAAUUGGUGUUCAGAGUCUCUUUAAGUUUCAAUUUUUGCUUGUACAGCCAUGUAAUUAUUCCAUUUGCCAGAAGGAAUAUCAUGUUGGUUGCUUGAGGGACCAUGGGUUGUAUCAUGCGUGAUUUGAAGUUAAGUCCUAUCUCAUUUUUUCUUCAAUUGUGAAACACUUUUGGUUCUGAUUGAGGGGUAUCUUAAAACUUACUGACAAAGUUGGGAUGCUUUUGAGUAUGGCCUAAUUUCAAUAGGGAUAAAUGCAUCAAUAUUUGUAAUUGAAGUACAUCCCUAGGAGACAGGGGUCCGUUGUUCUGGGGUUUUGAAGCAGAUGGUUAGAUUGUGAUUUCUUAUAAUCAUAAGGUUAUCAAUGGAAGUUUUGCUAAAUCAAUUGCACCAUUCCCAGUUGGUCGCCUGUUUCAUAUUUAGGGUGGAUUGAUGAUUUCUGAACAACAAGAUGAAGUACCCUGUGUUGAUUGUGAAAGUGCUAGCUUCCAUGUUGAUUCCCUCGCUGCUGCAAAAGAGUCUAUGGUUUAAUGUCUUCAAAUUUGGUGUUUUUGUAUUUUAAUUGUCAGGAUUUGAGUUUUAGUUUCGGUCUCCUAUCUGUGUGAUGUAAAUAUUGUAUAGUUUUUGUGUUAUAUCAUUAAUAAAGUGUAUCUUUCAAGCAAAUAUAUCAACUUUUUCU